GUCUGAUUCCAUGAUCAUUAAUACCCUUUUUUUUUUUUUCUGCUGUGAUGCUUCUGUGACUUGGCUAGUGUUGGAGUACUUGAACUGGCUGGCCAGCUAUGCCACUUGGUUUUUAUGUCUAAAAUCUUCCUCAGAGGAAUAGGCUUGUUGCUCUGCGGUGUUAGUGACCCGUUCCCUUUGACGAUCCCUAGGUGGAGAUGGGGCAUGAGGAUCCUCCAGGGGAAAAGCUCACUACCACUGGGCAACAACCCUAGGCCAGGAGUUCUAUCAAGAUUCUUCCCUGGGCCCAGGGAGGAAGAUGAAGUCUCAAAACAACCACCACCCAUCAGAGCUCCUGAUUGUUCCCUUCUUAUCUGCCAAAUCACUGUCUCCUAAAAGCAGUGCAGAGCACAAGAAAGUGGAACAUACAUAACAAAGGAAGAUCAACAUGCCUGGCAUGCUAGCAUUUUAGAACAGCGGAAUGCAGUAAGUUGUUGUUGGUGUAAUCCUGUGAGGGUCACUUUAGAGCUCAUAGCUGUUUGUUGUAGGUUUGU
rnacentral:lncRNA from 1 species